CAGCUUCUGUGAUGAUCCCAAGUGGAAUAACUGUUUAAGGUGUGGAUUCUGACUCAGAGGAGUUUACAAUCUAUCCUGGAGAAGUGAAUAAAACCCAAGAACAGAGGAACAUACAAACACAUGAUAAGAGGUUAUUUUUCCCCUUCCUGUGAAUUUGGAUAGCGAGCCAAAGGAAAAGAAACUUCAACAAGAAGUCUGGCUCAAAUCACUCCAGGGCCAGACUGCACCUUUUACAACAUUUCUAAUAAAUCAUGAGGAAAAAGAAAUCUCUGCCAUAGUAGCACAUUUGACAAACUGAAAUUAAAUUUUGCCAACUCUGGAGACACCAAGGUUGGCACCCAGGGCUAUGGUGCUGUGAGCUGGGUCACUAGGGCUGCUCAAAAAAGGGAACCCAGAAGCCUGGCAUGCUGGCAAAAGGAGUUAAGAAAAAUCUUCUGUUGAGCUAUUUACAGCUUGAAGCAGUUAAGUAAAGUAUACUCCUGCAAACAAAAUUUGGAACAUAUUUUUUUCCUUCUACCUGAUUUCUAAAUUUGGAAGUUAGUUGUAUUCUUAACUUACGGCAAUAUAGUUAUUUGCAUAAGUGCAAUACGAAUCUAUUUUCUUUUGUAACACGACCCAAUUGGAGAAACUGGUUAUUUUACCAAGGCUUUGACUGGGAUGGCAUGCUUUCUUUAAGGAAUCAAACUUACAGAGCUAAUAAAAGCCCCUUGGGAAACUGGCCUCAUACCUUCUCUACACAGUCCCUGUACAGGGUUCCUGACCUGUGGUAAGUAAAGAAUGUCACUUUCUGACACGUCCAGGAGCCCAUGUCAUCUUGGGACCUCAAAAGGACAGGAAUUUACCCAACUCAUAGGUAUUUGAGGGUACAAACCCACAGCAGGGCUUGGCUUUUAAAAAGCCUUAUCUGAGAUUACUUAUGGAACAGAGUUUCAUCAAAGCCAAUUUUAAAAGCCUCUGUGAAAUAAAUAUUCUUGCUGCACUUUAUACAAGUAAUCAGGCCAAGUAUAAUAAAGUAAAUCAGUCUUACCAUGAUUUGUCUUUAGUAAAAAUGGAAAAUCGGAGAGGGAAAAAUUAUGUUUCAAGAACUAUGGUAUACCUGUUAUUAAAUUCCAGUCUCAUCAGUUGUUUUUAAGUUUUUAAGUUUUUUUCCUGCAUUGUAGGCUGACCCUGCUUAUUCCUGUAAACCAACCAGUGAUUGGUUGCUUCUUCUGGCUGCUACUCAGAAGAAACAAGACUGGGUAAUGUAAAAAUCUGGAUUGGAUCAAUAUUCUAAUCCUGGACAUAUACUGGAAUCAUCUAGCAACUCCAUAUCAGCUUGGUUCCAAAAAUUGCCCAGUUCAUGGAAACCCUUCUAAUUUAGUUUACAUGGGAUGAUUUUGCUUAUUUCGUUAUGUUGCUGCUGGACUCUCUGUGUAGGAAUGCAGAAUAAGCUUGCUCAAUGUUUUCUUAAAUGGAACACUUAUCACUCUUCCAGAUACCACCUUUUGUUGGAACUCAAGAGUUAUAAAUGGCCCUUGACAUGCCAAAGCUUUCUGACUGGGCUGCUCUCUACCCUGAAUACAAGAGACCUUCAUAGUUUGGCAGAAAUAUCAUCACCUCUAUUCAGCAUGAAGAAGUUACAGAAGAUGGAUCUUCGUCCCUCUACAUCCCUUAGGAUUAAGGGUUCUCUUAUAAAAGGGAGUUGGGAAACAUCAGAGGUGUUUAAACCAGAGCAACUCCAUCUUGAACAGGGGCCGGGUAAAAUAAGGCUAAGACCUGUUGAGCUGCAUUCCCAGUAAGUGAAGGCAUUCUUAAUCACAGUAUGAGAUAGGGGGUCGACACAAGAGGCAGGUCAUAAAGACCUUGUUGAUAAAACAGUUUGCAAUAAAGAAGCUGGCCAAAACCCACCCAAA